GCCGCAUUAGGCUCAGUUGGUAGAGCACAUCAUUCGUAAUGAUGGGGUCAGGUGUUCGAGUCACCUAUGCGGCACCA
rnacentral:tRNA from 1 species